AGCGUUUGUUGAGUUCCACAUAUUUAUUAAAAGUGAAACUUCUUCAACCAAAACAAUAAACAAGCAACACAACGUGACUACGUCGUGCAACAAGCCCCAACCAGGGGCGGUUCUGGAGGGGGGGCCAGGGGGGCCAGUGCCCCUGUGACAACAAUUUUGGACCCCCUUGUGGCCCCCUAAAUGUGGAGUAUGAAAUAAUUUUUACAUAACUCAUUUUUGCUAUGGUUCUUUUUUUACAUCCGUUAUUAGACAGUGGCAACGAUGAUGAUUAUGAACAUGGUCUUUUGCCUGCUAAUGCCUGCAAUGCAGUGAAGAAAACGAUAUGACAACAAUAACGUCUAAUGUAACUAGCCCCUCUAACAGUACAACUGGCCCCAGCUCUGCCCCCCCAUUUGAAAUGGUCUAGAACCGCCACUGGCCCCAACACAAACAAACAAUAUCCCACAAUGCAGGUGGGAACAGGGACUCCUUAAGUAUGAUCCCCAAUUAGAGACAACGAUAAUCAGCUGCCUCUAAUUGGGAACCAUACUCAAACCCAACAUAGAAAUAUAAUUGACUAGAACACACCCUAGUCACGCCCUGACCUACAACACCAUAGAGAACCAAGGGCUCUCUAUGAUCAGGGCGUGACAGCCACUUAAACCUGAUUUGCCUUCUGCAUCUCACCCACAGACAGACAGACAGACACAGAUGCAGGGGAGAGAGAGGGAACAGAGAUGGGGAGAGGGAUGGAAGGAGAAACACCGGUGAGAUGGGGCGGUUAAAUAAUUGCCUACUUACAUACAUUGUCAAAGAAAAGUUACCAUGCUUCUGGAAAUAGUUUAUGGUAGUGUUUUCUAGUGAGCAACAUGGAGCCUGUAGCCAAUUAGAUUGUACUGAGACAGUUUGAAGGGUAGACUCCAUUAGAUUAGGGGAAAGGGGAUACCUAUUCAACUGAUGCAUUCAACCAAAAUGUGUCUUCCACAUUUAACUUUCAGAAAGGUGCGGGUGGCCGGCUCUGAGAUUCAAACCACCAACCUUUCGGUUAAUGGCCCAACGUUCUUAACCGAUAAGCGAUCAGACAUGAGAGUGAGGAAACAGGUCUGAGGGAGAGGGGGAGGGAAGAAAACAGGAGACGGAAGAGAUGCUCAGUGGCUGAUGGAGGGAGGAGGUGACGGCGAGAGAAAGAGAGAGAUUGAAAGGCGGAGAGACGGAUGAGAA
rnacentral:lncRNA from 8 species